CCGCCCAGCGCUGGCAGAGUGACCGGGGGUGUUGGGUGCCGUCAGAGAGGCAGGACGCCAUAGUGUAUCACCGGCGCCGCCACCGAUUCAUGAUAGAGCGCCUCACGGCGAAGAAAUGCAAAAGAAGCAUGGUCAGUCAGCUGGGCAUCUCAAUGGAAGUGUACAGACGAACGGUGGCUCCGGCCAGCUGUCUGACUUAUCCGAAGGAGAAGCUGGUGACGUGCUGGCGCCACCCGCACCAGAUGAGGGCAACGCUACGCACCUCGAGAGAAGGGUGGGACUCUUCUCUGGGGUUGCUCUAAUUGUCGGCACCAUGAUCGGAUCUGGGAUCUUUGUGUCCCCCAAGGGUGUGCUGGAGCGCACCGGAUCCGUCGGAAUGUGUCUUGUCGUGUGGAUGGGAUGUGGUGUCCUCUCCACAUUGGGCGCGCUGGCGUACGCCGAGCUGGGCACGGUGAUCCCGUCCUCUGGCGCCGAGUAUGUGUACCUGCUGGUGGGCCUGGGCAACCUGCCGGCCUUCGUCUUCUCUUGGGUGUGCUCGUUCGUGCUGAAGCCGAGCAUGCUGGCCAUCAUCUGCCUCUCGUUCGCCGAGUACCUGGUGGAGGCGUUUGUGGAGGAGUGCGAGCCUCCCGCCCAGGUGGUCACCCUGGUCGGAGUACUCACUAUCGGUGGCAUCACGUUCAUCAACUGCUUCAGCGUCACGCUGGCGACCAAGGUGCAGAACGUCUUCACUGCCGCCAAGCUGAUCGCCAUCGCCAUCAUCGUCGUCGGCGGCAUGUACUCUCUGGCCGAGGGCAACACGCAGUACCUGCGCCAGGGUUUCGAGCACACCACUAGUUCGGUGAGCGAUGUGGCCACGGCCUUCUACAGCGGUCUGUGGGCCUACGACGGCUGGAACAACCUCAACUACGUCACAGAGGAGAUCAAAAAUCCGUCCAGGAACCUGCCUCUGGCCAUCAUCAUCGGCCUGCCGUUGGUAACCGCCUGCUACCUGCUGGUCAACAUCUCCUACCUGGCCGUCAUGUCGCCCAUCGAGCUCCUCCAGUCAGAUGCCGUCGCCGUGACGUUCGGUAAUCGCAUCCUCGGUGUAAUGGCUUGGCUGAUGCCUCUGGCAGUCACCAUGUCCACUUUCGGCGCCGCCAACGGAACCUGCUUCACAUCGGGAAGGCUGUGCUACGCCGCCGCUCGUCAGGGCCAUCUGGUGGACAUCCUCAGCUACGUCCACGUCCGCCGCCUCACCCCGUCCCCCGCACUCAUCUUCAACGCCAUCAUCGCCAUUGCCAUGAUCGUGGCCGGCGACAUCGGCAGCCUGAUCGACUUCUUCAGCUUCACCGUGUGGAUCUUCUACGGCAUGGCCAUGGCGGCGCUGAUCGUCAUGCGUCGCACCAAGCCGGACGCGCCGCGCCCCUAUAAGGUGGCAUGGCCGACUGGCUGUCCACAGAUUCGACAGUGUGCCGGCGUCCACCGUCUGAGCGCGCAUGCGCAGAGCGGGCGCACCCGGUUCCGAUCGUGAUCCCCUGGCUGGUGCUGUUCAUGUCCAUCUACCUGGUGGUGGGACCGAUCAUCGACGCGCCGCAGAUCGAGUACCUGUACGCGCUGGGCUUUGUGCUGGCCGGACCGCUCGUCUACAUACCAUUUGUCCAUUACAAGUGGACGCCGGCGUUUGUUGGGAAGACGACCCUUUUCUUCCAAAAGCUGCUGGAGGUCGUCCCGACAUCUUACGACGACUAGUCGGUACCACCAAAGUCGUCUGGAAAGACUGACAGUCGCUCAAAGUGACCCAGACCUCGUUGUCAGCGGCGACAACCGGCCUAACCAGACGGCAAGCGUAGAAACAGCGACCCAGCCUGUUUUACCAUCACGAUACAGAAGAAUGAACACGGCGAUCGAGAGUUAAGCGAUGGCAGAAGAUCAGAACAGCUAGAUGGCACUGGUGUACGAAAGUAGGAACGGGCAAGCUGCAAUCUCAAUCGUGUGAACGUCUUUCAUUGCUGCGUAUUCUUCUUUUGUACGUGCACGCAAGGUGACUAGUUUCUUUUGAAUUAAGUGUGCUGGUGUGAAGUCGGUUUGUUUUUCCUUUGCUUCCUUGUCUCGCACUUUGAUCCUUUAUUUUCUUGCCAGAGGUUGAUGCUGGUCAGAGCGUGAGGAGUCAAUGCUAAGAGGUUCAGUUGUGCCAAUAAUUGGCACAAAUCGUGCGAUAAAGCAUACCAAUUAAAGAUCAUUUGUUGCUUUUACCUUCUUAACCAGCUUUGAGCUUACCAAUUCAUUUAUGGUAAGUUCGCAUAAAGAUCAUCAUCAUACUCUACUUUUACUGAUGCCUUUUAUGAUAACCAAAGGUUUGUGUUCAGUUCUUAAAGACGCUAUGGUGUUUUUUUAUUGAAAGUAAACUUGAGUUACCGGAAAAUUUUGCUUAAGUUUGGUAAUGCCAUAGCCACAAAAAAGUCAAAAUUCCUUAUGAGCGACAGUGGCUCGACUCACCCGAAUGCGUAAAAAUAACAAGUAUGUUGUUCUGGGCCCCACCUAUUACAAAGUUAGCAGCCAGAUUUGCCUAGGAAGAGAAGACGGCUCUCUCACUACUGAAGAUCAAAUCAUUCCGAGAGGCAAGCCGUCAGAAACCAUCAGAACGUAGCCUUCGAGUGGGCUACUGUGAGCUCUGGAUAUCCUAAUCGGUAGCACCCCACGUUAUCCUUGCUUAUAGCCACUGUGGACAGCAGUGAGCUAUCCUAUGAUACCAAAAUCGCGAUUUACUGACCUGUUUUAUGCUUCUGAAUCGACGAUUUUACAGAAGAUAUAAAUUGUUUUUUUUUUUAAAUAUUGUGCGUGACAAAGCCUCUUGUUUCAUCCCUAGAGCGAAAAAUAGUAUUAAAAAAUUGUAUCCGCAUGCUGAUGCCAAAACCACCGCACGAUUGUCGAUUCAAUCUUAUAAAACUGACCCGGCGGCAGCGGUAUAUGACCACUCCUCUCCCGUGUGACUGAGGGCACCCAGUGUGGCCGGCACGGCGGACAGAGGAACCAGGAGUGGGGUCCACCCGGACCCGCGGGGGACUCUGCGGACCCAGGUGGGACCCGCUCGAAUGAUUCUGACCGCCGUUUGGCAACGCCGGGCUCCCCCGGCCAGCACGGAUUGGGAAAGGACGUACCUUGCCGCCGGUCACCCCUCGUAGCAGCACUUUGUUAUAUUUUGUAUUGUUGCUCGAGUAUUUUUGUACUCGGAGGAUGGCAGUGGGCUAGCGGCGGCAGGUCGCGGGGAGUGCAGAAGAGGCGGCAAAGCUCGAUGUUGUGCUCGUGGGCCGUGCUAGUAGUGACUGCUGCGCCUUAAUGGCUAGAUGUCUUCGCAACGAUGGCAGUAGCAAUCGGAUGUCUCUGCUACUCUGUGCUAUUCGCGUUACAUUGUCAAUGUAUAGGAAUACAGGGUGCUGAGCAAGGCUGGCUGCGCUCCAGAGCCGAUAUAUCGUACUAGUGUGACUUUAUAUAUCUUCUGUUGUUCUGUUGUCUAUUAUCUACUUUACAUGGCUCCAAAAAGGAUCAUUCCCGAGCCUGAAACUGAUGAUAUCGUUAGAGACUUGCCUCCUUUCUAGACGAGCAAAGGUUAGAUCAGUUUGCACCGCUGCCCCUUUCCCCGGUAGUUAGUUUUGUGUGUGCGAUCAGCGGUAAACGGGACUGCUGCGGUCGAACAGUCGUAUACCCUUGCGACCAGUUCGGUCCCACUGGCCGCGACCGACCGAGAGUGAUGGCGCCGCGUCGCGCUGAGCCGUGCUGCGCUCCACUGUAGAUGCGAUAUUUAGCCGUAGUAAGGUGAGACGAUCCCUGGGUUGUGUGGGCUCAGAGACCGUAUGAGAGUGUGGAAGAGGAAGGUUUGUGUGUGUCGGCUGCUGAUCAUGUCGACUCGCUGAAUGACUGAUGAUGUGACGCUGUGGAAGGGCAAGCGUUGAUGUGAGAGGAGACUGAAGGCGUAUAUGUAAAACCAAACAUUUAUCCCACCGAUUCCGCACGUAAAACUAAUAUCAGCGACACCUACUGCUAAAAAACGCGACCGUCGCGCAGCAGGACGUGACAUGUGCCGAAGUGGCACCUGCCAAAGGCACCAGCGUUAUAUCUGAUGUUCGUUACACCACAGAGGAAAUGGAUGUGAGGUAAUUGACGAGGAGAGCUGUGCAGCGAUGUUUUGCGAUGAUGACUGGUUGUUCGGCAGCAAUAUGGCGGGGCGUGCUGUGAAGUAAAACUGGCAUGGCUGCGGCAGGGUCGUCGCUGAUUAAGAUAGCAUUAAAUAUGCUGUUUGUUAUUCAAUAAACGUGUGAAUCGA
rnacentral:misc_RNA from 1 species